rnacentral:rRNA from 1 species
UGAACGCUGGCGGCGUGCCUAAUACAUGCAAGUCGAGCGAACAGACGAGGAGCUUGCUCCUCUGACGUUAGCGGCGGACGGGUGAGUAACACGUGGAUAACCUACCUAUAAGACUGGGAUAACUUCGGGAAACCGGAGCUAAUACCGGAUAAUAUAUUGAACCGCAUGGUUCAAUAGUGAAAGACGGGUUUGCUGUCACUUAUAGAUGGAUCCGCGCCGCAUUAGCUAGUUGGUAAGGUAACGGCUUACCAAGGCAACGAUGCGUAGCCGACCUGAGAGGGUGAUCGGCCACCCUGGAACUGAGACACGGUCCAGACUCCUACGGGAGGCAGCAGUAGGGAAUCUUCCGCAAUGGGCGAAAGCUUGACGGAGCAACGCCGCGUGAGUGAUGAAGGUCUUCGGAUCGUAAAACUCUGUUAUUAGGGAAGAACAAAUGUGUAAGUAACUAUGCACGUCUUGACGGUACCUAAUCAGAAAGCCACGGCUAACUACGUG